AACGAACGCUGGCGGCAGGCCUAACACAUGCAAGUCGAGCGAGCAUUUCGGUGCUAGCGGCGGACGGGUGAGUAACGCGUGGGAACGUGCCCUUUUCUGCGGAAUAGUCCUGGGAAACUGGGGGUAAUACCGCAUACGCCCUUUUGUGGAAAGAUUUAUCGGAGAAGGAUCGGCCCGCGUUGGAUUAGGUAGUUGGUGGGGUAAUGGCCCACCAAGCCGACGAUCCAUAGCUGGUUUGAGAGGAUGAUCAGCCACACUGGGACUGAGACACGGCCCAGACUCCUACGGGAGGCAGCAGUGGGGAAUCUUAGACAAUGGGGGCAACCCUGAUCCAGCCAUGCCGCGUGAGUGAUGAAGGCCUUAGGGUUGUAAAGCUCUUUCAGCUGGGAAGAUAAUGACGGUACCAGCAGAAGAAGCCCCGGCUAACUCCGUG
rnacentral:rRNA from 1 species